rnacentral:misc_RNA from 1 species
AACCAUAGAAACCUGCGGAGUACCUGCGGAAGGAUCAUUACAAGUGACCCCGGUUUACCACCGGGAUGUUCAUAACCCUUUGUUGUCCGACUCUGUUGCCUCCGGGGCGACCCUGCCUUCGGGCGGGGGCUCCGGGUGGACACUUCAAACUCUUGCGUAACUUUGCAGUCUGAGUAAACUUAAUUAAUAAAUUAAAACUUUUAGCAACGGAUCU